rnacentral:rRNA from 1 species
AACGAACGCUGGCGGCAUGCCUAACACAUGCAAGUCGAACGAGACCUUCGGGUCUAGUGGCGCACGGGUGCGUAACGCGUGGGAACCUGCCCUUAGGUUCGGAAUAACUCCCCGAAAGGGGUGCUAAUACCGGAUAAUGUCUUCGGACCAAAGAUUUAUCGCCUUUGGAUGGGCCCGCGUUGGAUUAGCUAGUUGGUAGGGUAAAAGCCUACCAAGGCGACGAUCCAUAGCUGGUCUGAGAGGAUGAUCAGCCACACUGGUACUGAGACACGGCCCAGACUCCUACGGGAGGCAGCAGUGGGGAAUAUUGGAAAAUGGGCGAAAGCAUGAUCCAGCAAUGACGCGUGAGUGAUGAAGGCCUUAGGGUUGUAAAGCUCUUUUACCCGGGAUGAUAAUGACAGUACCGGGAGAAUAAGCUCCGGCUAACUCCGUG